AACGCAUCUUGCGCUCCAUGGUAUUCCGUGGAGCAUGUCUGUUUGAGUGUCAUGAAAUUCUCAACCCUUGGGUUUUGCUAGUCGAUUCCCUUGGGCUUGGAUCGUGAGUGCCUGCUGGACCUUGCAUCAGCUCACUCUAAAAGCAUGAGUGGUCUUUGCCCUGCACUGGCUUGACCCGGCGUGAUAGACGUAUGCAGGCCUCUGUAAUGGAGGUAUGUGCUGGCCUCUGUAAUGGAGGUAUAUGCUGGCCUCUGUAAUGGAGGUUAGUAUCAGUGUCGGCCUUUCGGUGUGAUAAUGAUCACCGUGGCUAGCUGCUUAUGAAUGUCUAUGCCUUACUUGCUCCUUUUCCAUUGAGUUGGAAAAAAGCACUUGACCAUUUUGACCUCAAAUCAGGUAGGACUACCCGCUGAACUUAA
rnacentral:rRNA from 1 species